AAGGAAAGCUAAACAAAAGGCAGCAAAGCCCUCCGGCCUGCAGUUCUGAGGAAGAGGCGGGUGGAUUGGAUGAUUUUAAGUAUCAACAUUGGAAGGUGUUCAAGAGAAGUACAUAGCAACCUGGUAGUGAUUUUAUAGAAGAGAUUAAACAUUAGAUUGGAAGUGGAUUAAGCAAAAACCUCCCGCUUCACUACGGGCAAUUUCCAUGUCAUCAAAGAAGUGUCUUAAUAUACUAUGAUCUUGUUGUGUAAAAUGUGCUUAUAUUUAUCUGACCAUAUUAAGAACUUCAUUGAAAAUAUUUCAGAUGUCGUUGUUGAAGACCUUUUCAUUCUCUAGAUUAGAACAGAGAAACCCAAAGUCCUUUGUGCAGCACAUCAACAAAAAACUUUAAAUCGGAUUAGUAAUGGGGUUAAAUGAAUGAUGCAAUGUGUUUGGAAAAGGAAAAAUAAAAAACCACAAACCAGCUCUCAUCGAUUUCUUGCUUUAAUUCCGAGGCUACGACACUGCCGACGUGAUUGAGCAAACUUUUCCU